rnacentral:lncRNA from 1 species
GAAAUAUGUAGGUCAGAUUAUUUGUUUAAACAUUACAGAUUAGCUUUUGGUUUGUCCAUAAGGAUUGAGACUGGAAAUGGCAAUUGAAUCAGACUUUUAAAGUAAGUUUUGAUCAUUACAUAGAUUUUUUGAAUUUCUAAACUAAAAUAAUGUAAAAUGUGAAUUUGAGUGAGGUAUAAUGUUUUUGACCUGUCCUGACCAUCAACCUGUUUCUUGUCAUUACAACAGAAUUUUAUAAAACAAGGUAGUAUGUACACAAUACUAUGUCGUUGUGCAUGUUAACAAGAAAUUAUGAUUAUUUUUUUUCUAGGAGGUAUGUUAUGCCCCUCUGAACUUAAAUUUAGGCCUAUACUGCUGCAACAGUUUUACUACAAGUCCACUGAAACUGCACAGCAGAAUUUCAUGGAUCUUUGAAGUUAAUGAGGACAGUAAAUUGCAUAUCCACAAGAUAUCAAUUGACUUUUUUCUAUCAAUACAAGCACAAUAGAUUUCUUUAACAAGUAUGUGUUAUAAGUAGACUGUUUUGUGAAAGAUAUCUAUAGUGCUUGGAUUGACUUGUAAAAGGAAUAUUUCAUACAAGUAUAUUGCUUUUAUUAUUUGUUUAUAGGCUGAUGUGAGGACUGAUCUCAUGGUGUUGGAAGUACAGAACUGGUGAUCUGAUACUGCUAACAUAUUGGUAGAUAUACCCAAAUUUUUACCCCCCACGUAACGCAUAACAUCUCGGACAAGUUCUAUAAUGGUGGACAAUCAACUUUUUUAAACAGAGUUAUGCCCUAUGGAAAUAUAAAAUAAGUGCAACAAGUGGGACAUUGGAACUAUAUUCUUUAAUUUUAAUCUAAAAUUGUUUGAUGUCAAUUUUAAUAACGGUUCAGGUCCCUUUCAUGAAGAUUGAAUUACAUGGAGAUAUUCAGCUCCAAAGGAAAGGGGUACAUAAUUGUCCAAGAUAGUCAAGAUACUGUCAAGCUUUGAAACAGAAAUUGUUUUUGACUUUUUUUCUAUUCAUCAAGAUUCAAACUAAAUAUCCACUGAAUUUCUUUAGUAAUUAUGAACCACAAACUUAAAUGUUCAAAGUAUAAUUUUCUAUCAACCAACUUUCUAUCAAAUAUCCACAGAAAUCAAAGUUUUCCUCAAUCACAAUGAAAAUCAUUUAAUCCACUGUAGAUUUUUUGAAGAGUUUAAAUAACAGAUUCAACUUUGUAUUACAGGUUAGCAUCACAGCUUGUCCUUUUGGAUACUGUCUGGAGUAGAAUUUGGAUCUUUUUGAGGUGAGAAAAUAUUUAUUUGUCCACAUACAAGAGGGUGGUAAUGGGGAUACCUUUAUAACCAAUAACGGUAAAAAUUAUAACUAAAUGACGUAAAAUUUGGAGCAUGCAAUAAAAUGUAAAGUUUUAGAUGAUGAACAAAUUUUGAGGAAUCAAGUUAGUUUUUUUCCAAAAAAUAACGAUAACGAUCAUUAUUUGAUGCUAACAGUAGCCAAUAAUGACUGCUUGAAGCCUGAUGGUAAAGGGCAUUACUACCCUCUUACAAAUUUUAUUAAUUGAUAUAAUCUUAUGGACAGUUUAAAUUUCUAUAAAUCUUUAUUAUUUGCAAUUAUAUUUCAUCUUUAUAUUUUCUACUGCAGCCUUUAUAGAUGUAAAUCAGAUGUUUUAAUGUUCAGAAGGUUUAUAGUUCUUUUUAACUUCUUUCUCUUAUACCAUUUUUAAAAGAAAAAUUACCACUCAAAUAUUUGAAGAUUCUUUAAACAUUACCUAAUUCAUAUACUUUAACAUUAUUUGAAAUUACUAUGGAUUGUCAGGAAAUGAAAUAUCAUUUUAUUUCUUUUACAGGUGCCCUUGUGUGGUCAAUCCAAUGGACAAUAACAAUCAUGCAGACAAGAUAUAUAUUGCUUUUUUGUUUAAUAAAAUCUUUAAAUGAUAAUUCUGAAAGCCA